AAAGGCCGCAGGCCAGCUGACAAUGGACAUAAAUCGGAGGGGCCGAGGGGCCAAAGAAACUAAACUAAAACAUUGUUUGCCGUGAGUAUUUUCUAAACAGCAUGUGCCUUAUAUCUUAAAUAAAUAAAUAUAAAAUAAUCUAGACGGACAUAUGUUAGAACUUUGUUUCGUUUUGUCCAUAUUCAAACUCUUCUAGGUGGCGCCCCAACAGCUCAUCGAAAUGCACGCAGCGCGAAUUCGAAUCCACAGCGAGAUUUGAGCGCGGGAAGCUGUUAUGUGCCAGUAUGCUGGGGUAGGCUUGACAACUCAAAAUUUUCUAUUUGUACUUACGAAGCAGCAGUAUUUGACAGAAAAGAAUAAUACUUUGAUGCUCUUCUCACGCCUACAAGCGAGGGCGGCAUGAUUAACAACACAGCGUAAUGCGCAACGGUGAACGCCAACGAACUGCGUGCCGCCACCAACCUGGACGAAGCAUUUUGGACUGAAGCUGUCUUGAUAUCUACAAUACAUUGGACACUACAUGCAGGAUUAUGAAUGGAUACCUGAACACUGCUUGAAGGAGCAAGCUCUACAGCAUCACUUAUGCUCCUUUCCAUGGGUUGGCAAGAGGAACCGUGGCACGCAACUCUACAGGCACCUGUGCUCUUCACUACCUUCGGAGGAGAGAUGCAUUGAAUGCUCCCUAUCAUGCACUGCCAUCUCAACAGUACCAUGGCUUUUUGUGUGGAUUCCUUCCCUUUUGAAGGCCACCACUGUUUGCACAGCAUCACAGCCUGCCUGCCUUGAUCUUGCGGAAGAAGAAAAUACAAAAUGCCUAUUUUUUGAAAUGCAUGCAUGGCUCCAUGCAACA